rnacentral:sRNA from 1 species
UGAGAUCAGCGCGUGCUUGUCAAUUUCUAGCUGAACAGGGUUAUGACGUUAUCAAUGUCCAAGGUGGAAUGACGGCCUUUGAAAAUCUUUAAAAUUUUGCAUUUCUCUUACUUGGUGUGGACUAGGUAGGAGAAAUUU